GUCGAGGGGCAGCGGGGGAGUAGCAAUACUCCCGCCGGCGACCGGCGCACGGGUGAGUAACACGUAUGAAACCUGCCCGUAGCAGGGGGAUAAGCGGAAGAAAUUCCGUCUAAUACCGCGUAACAACCCUUGGAGGCAUCUCCUCGGGUUUAAAGGAAGCGAUUCCGGCUACGGAUGGUCAUGCGUCGCAUUAGCUUGUUGGCGGGGUAACGGCCCACCAAGGCGACGAUGCGUAGGGGUUCUGAGAGGAAGGUCCCCCACACUGGUACUGAGACACGGACCAGACUCCUACGGGAGGCAGCAGUGAGGAAUAUUGGUCAAUGGCCGCAGGGCUGAACCAGCCAAGUCGCGUGAGGGAUGACGGUCCUGUGGAUUGUAAACCUCUUUUGUCAGGGAGCAAAGGGCGUCACGUGUGGCGCUUUGCGAGUACCUGAAGAAAAAGCAUCGGCUAACUCCGUGCCAGCAGCCGCGGUAAUACGGAAGAUGCGAGCGUUAUCCGGAUUUAUUGGGUUUAAAGGGUGCGCAGGCGGAAUGUCAAGUCAGCGGUAAAAUUUCGGGGCUCAACCCCGUCGUGCCGUUGAAACUGGCGUUCUUGAGUGAGCGAGAAGUAUGCGGAAUGCGUGGUGUAGCGGUGAAAUGCAUAGAUAUCACGCAGAACUCCGAUUGCGAAGGCAGUAUACCGGCGCUCAACUGACGCUCAUGCACGAAAGCGUGGGUA
rnacentral:rRNA from 1 species